rnacentral:rRNA from 1 species
AGACCCGAAACCCGGUGAUCUAGCCAUGGGCAGGUUGAAGGUUGGGUAACACUAACUGGAGGACCGAACCGACUAAUGUUGAAAAAUUAGCGGAUGACCUGUGGCUGGGGGUGAAAGGCCAAUCAAACCGGGAGAUAGCUGGUUCUCCCCGAAAGCUAUUUAGGUAGCGCCUCGUGAAUUCAUCUCCGGGGGUAGAGCACUGUUUCGGCUAGGGGGCCAUCCCGGCUUACCAACCCGAUGCAAACUGCGAAUACCGGAGAAUGUUAUCACGGGAGACACACGGCGGGUGCUAACGUCCGUCGUGAAGAGGGAAACAACCCAGACCGCCAGCUAAGGUCCCAAAGUCAUGGUUAAGUGGGAAACGAUGUGGGAAGGCCCAGACAGCCAGGAUGUUGGCUUAGAAGCAGCCAUCAUUUAAAGAAAGCGUAAUAGCUCACUGGUCGAGUCGGCCUGCGCGGAAGAUGUAACGGGGCUAAACCAUGCACCGAAGCUGCGGCAGCGACGCUGAUGCGUUGUUGGGUAGGGGAGCGUUCUGUAAGCCUGUGAAGGUGGCCUGUGAGGGUUGCUGGAGGUAUCAGAAGUGCGAAUGCUGACAUAAGUAACGAUAAAGCGGGUGAAAAGCCCGCUCGCCGGAAGACCAAGGGUUCCUGUCCAACGUUAAUCGGGGCAGGGUGAGUCGACCCCUAAGGCGAGGCCGAAAGGCGUAGUCGAUGGGAAACGGGUUAAUAUUCCCGUACUUGGUGUUACUGCGAAGGGGGGACGGAGAAGGCUAUGUUGGCCGGGCGACGGUUGUCCCGGUUUAAGCGUGUAGGUGUGUGUUCCAGGUAAAUCCGGUUCACUUUAACACUGAGGCGUGA